rnacentral:rRNA from 1 species
AAGCGUGCGCAGGCGGUUAUGUAAGACAGAUGUGAAAUCCCCGGGCUCAACCUGGGAACUGCAUUAGUGACUGCAUAGCUGGAGUACGGCAGAGGGGGAUGGAAUUCCGCGUGUAGCAGUGAAAUGCGUAGAUAUGCGGAGGAACACCGAUGGCGAAGGCAAUCCCCCUGGACCUGUACUGACGCUCAUGCACGAAAGCGUGGGGAGCAAACAGGAUUAGAUACCCCAGU